rnacentral:tRNA from 1 species
GGGGUGUAUAGCUCAGUGGUAGAGCAUUUGACUGGUUCCUCGGUUCGAGCCCGGGUUUCCCCU